AGUGAAUGCUGGCGGUAGGCCUAACACAUGCAAGUCGAACGGCAGCACAGUAAGAGCUUGCUCUUACGGGUGGCGAGUGGCGGACGGGUGAGGAAUACAUCGGAAUCUACUUUUUCGUGGGGGAUAACGUAGGGAAACUUACGCUAAUACCGCAUACGACCUACGGGUGAAAGCAGGGGAUCUUCGGACCUUGCGCGAUUGAAUGAGCCGAUGUCGGAUUAGCUAGUUGGCUGGGUAAAGGCCCACCAAGGCGACGAUCCGUAGCUGGUCUGAGAGGAUGAUCAGCCACACUGGAACUGAGACACGGUCCAGACUCCUACGGGAGGCAGCAGUGGGGAAUCUUGGACAAUGGGCGAAAGCCUGAUCCAGCCAUACCGCGUGAGUGAAGAAGGCCUUCGGGUUGUAAAGCCCUUUUGUUGGGAAAGAAAAGCAGCAGGUUAAUACCCCGCUGUUCUGACGGUACCCAAAGAAUAAGCACCGGCUAACUUCGUG
rnacentral:rRNA from 1 species